AGAGUUUGAUCCUGGCUCAGGAUGAACGCUGGCGGUCUGCUUAACACAUGCAAGUCGAACGGGACUCUUAGGAGUUCAGUGGCGGACGGGUGAGUAACGCGUGAGAAUCUACCUUUUGGUCGGGGACAACCACUGGAAACGGUGGCUAAUACCGGAUAAGCCUGCGGGUAAAAGAUUAAUUGCCAAGAGAGGAGCUCGCGUCUGAUUAGCUAGUUGGUGAGGUAAAGGCUCACCAAGGCGGCGAUCAGUAGCUGGUCUGAGAGGAUGAUCAGCCACACUGGGACUGAGACACGGCCCAGACUCCUACGGGAGGCAGCAGUGGGGAAUUUUCCGCAAUGGGCGAAAGCCUGACGGAGCAAGACCGCGUGAGGGAGGAAGGCUCUUGGGUUGUAAACCUCUUUUGUCAGGGAAGAACACAAUGACGGUACCUGAAGAAUCAGCAUCGGCUAACUCCGUGCCAGCAGCCGCGGUAAUACGGAGGAUGCAAGCGUUAUCCGGAAUUAUUGGGCGUAAAGCGUCCGCAGGUGGCACUUCAAGUCUGCUGUCAAAGACCGGGGCUUAACCCUGGAAAGGCAGUGGAAACUGAAGCGCUAGAGUGUGGCAGGGGUAGAGGGAAUUCCCGGUGUAGCGGUGAAAUGCGUAGAGAUCGGGAAGAACAUCGGUGGCGAAAGCGCUCUACUGGGCCACAACUGACACUCAGGGACGAAAGCUAGGGGAGCGAAUGGGAUUAGAUACCCUAGUAGUCC
rnacentral:rRNA from 1 species